AGAUUGAACGCUGGCGGCAGGCCUAACACAUGCAAGUCGAGCGGCAGCACGGGUACUUGUACCUGGUGGCGAGCGGCGGACGGGUGAGUAAUGCCUAGGAAUCUGCCUGGUAGUGGGGGAUAACGCUCGGAAACGGACGCUAAUACCGCAUACGUCCUACGGGAGAAAGCAGGGGACCUUCGGGCCUUGCGCUAUCAGAUGAGCCUAGGUCGGAUUAGCUAGUUGGUGAGGUAAUGGCUCACCAAGGCGACGAUCCGUAACUGGUCUGAGAGGAUGAUCAGUCACACUGGAACUGAGACACGGUCCAGACUCCUACGGGAGGCAGCAGUGGGGAAUAUUGGACAAUGGGCGAAAGCCUGAUCCAGCCACGCCGCGUGUGUGAAGAAGGUCUUCGGAUUGUAAAGCUAUUUAAGUGGAGAAGGCAGUUACCUAAUACGUAUCUGUUUUGACGUUUACGACUAGAAUAAGCACCGGCUAACUCUGUGCCAGCACG
rnacentral:rRNA from 1 species